AGCUAUGCCCUGCUGGGAAAAAAGCUUUCCUCCACAGAUCCUUAAGGGACACUUGCACAACAUAAAAUACAUAAAGUAUUUUGGCUGUGUUGCCAGCAGUUGGCAAGGCUGUCAUUCCACAAUGGGGAAGGCUUUGGUAAUGCUGAAUUAAAAUGCUGCUGUUCUCCACCUCUUUUUUUCCUCCUCACUUGUGCUGGUCCAGCUAUUUGUGAUUCCAUGUGGCACAUUGGUUUAGAAAAAUAAGUAACCCAUCCAAAAGGGAAAAGCCCCGCAGCCUGAGUUGGCAUCUGUGGUGUUAAACGUUGCAAUUGUGCUUUUAAUAAUUAAGUCACAGGGAAGAUGUGUAAGGUGAAAACCAAUGCAGCUUAAUGAGCUGUCGUCUACGGCUCUGUCACGGCAGCUGGAGCCUCAUGUAAACUGGAAGGACAAUUGAUUUUUUAUUUAUUUAUUUAUUAAUUUUUUAGGCACUGGACUGGGGUUUGGGAGACUGAAGUCCUGGUCCUACCACUGCCACGGGUUGCUGGUGUCAUCUCAAGUGAGUUACUUCAUCUGCAUCAGUCUUGACCAAAGAAACGCAUUUUGUGACACACCAGCAGAGGUCUGUUUGCCCUCACUGCAAGGCUGGAUCCAUGGUGUCCUUCCUGAGAGCAGCCAUGGAGUUACGCUAGAGGCUCUGCUCUUCCCUUUUCUUUCAUUUGUUGGCAGACUCCUCAGCCUGGAAACAUGACUGCUGAGGUGAUGAUAUGAUGGAGGUCUAAGGUAUAUUGGCAUGGAGAAGGUAAGGAACAACAAUUUGCUCUGCCUCAUACAAGAAUUAAGGUGUACCAGAUGAAAUUAUCAGGUGGCACUUGAAACAAAAGAAGGUGCUGUUUUGGCAGGUUGUAUGGUUCAGCUGGGGAGCUUAUGGCUGUGGGACAUCAUAGAUGGCAAACAUGGUAUGGGCUCAAAAAGCAGCUAAACAUGGAAAAGAAAAAUCCAUUGAGGGUUAUUUAUCACAAAGACAUCAGCUGUGAUUCAAAGUCCCUGAGCAAUAAGGUAUCAGGAUGCCAGGGAAGUAUAGCUGUUAGAUUUUCCUCCAUGUGCUGUGCCCUCGCUGGCUGCUGGUAGCCUUUGAGACAGCAUGCAGGAUUCAGAUGACCCUUUAGUUUGACUCAGUUGGCUGAAGCUACUGCAGAGUCUAUAGCAGAUGGAGUGAUACUGCUGAUACUUCCAUAGCUUUGCUUCCCCAGGGGCUUUAAAUGCAUUUUUCGAGGCUCUGCAGUCGAACAAGAGAGUUCUUUGUGUUUAUUUUCCUACUGUAGCUUUCCCUCUUUUAAAGAGAGACAGCUGGUUUUGUGAAUGGUACUUAACAGUUCUUUCAAACUCAAUUAGGCACUUGGGAGCCAGGAGUUGCAAGCACUCGGCUUCUAUAGCGAGCAAAGGAUUUUCCCCCCUGCAGCUUCUGUUAUACCAUCAUUUCCAAGAUGUCCACACUCUGUGAGCUGAGGUUUUAAAAACUGGCCAUUUGUUAGUGUCUGAAAGCCUUGGAAAUAGUGGCCAGUCCUGCUUGCUUUGCUCUCCUAACUUUGAAAUGCUCUGAAACAAUUUAAUUCAUCACUUCCCUUUUAAUCAAGGAGAAAGAAAAAAAAUCAGGCUCUGUCCCAACCCUGAACUGACUUGAAUCUUGUGUCUACAACAAAUGCCAGGGAUUUUUUUGGCAGGCUUGACAACAAACCAUUCUUGCAUUUGAAAUGGCUGGACAGUGAAACUAAAGUGCUUUUACCUUUUGUAUAAGUGCAUAUCAGGGCGCAGUGUUUUGUGCAGGGUCUGCUGCUCAUGCCCUGUAGCUGUGCCCACGUACUGCCCAGCCAGGCAUUAAGUGAUGUGAUUAACAGCUGUCACAUGUGGUUGACUCUGCCUCUGAUCUCCAGGCUGGGGAGAUCUGUGUGUGCAGUGGAGGGUUUUAUUUUGCUAGCAGAGCUCUGUGAAAGGUUUCCCUCCCAGGAAAUUGUUUCUGAUACUUUAAUGUUGGUCUUUGUCCUGACUGAAAAUUAAGACCUCA